rnacentral:piRNA from 1 species
UUUUUUCAAGAUAUUACUAUG